CCGUGCCAGCAGCCGCGGUAAUACGGAGGGUGCGAGCGUUAAUCGGAAUUACUGGGCGUAAAGCGCAUGCAGGUGGUUUGUUAAGUCAGAUGUGAAAGCCCGGGGCUCAACCUCGGAAUUGCAUUUGAAACUGGCAGACUAGAGUACUGUAGAGGGGGGUAGAAUUUCAGGUGUAGCGGUGAAAUGCGUAGAGAUCUGAAGGAAUACCGGUGGCGAAGGCGGCCCCCUGGACAGAUACUGACACUCAGAUGCGAAAGCGUGGGGAGCAAACAGGAUUAGAUACCCUGGUAGUCCACGCCGUAAACGAUGUCUACUUGGAGGUUGUGGCCUUGAGCCGUGGCUUUCGGAGCUAACGCGUUAAGUAGACCGCCUGGGGAGUACGGUCGCAAGAUUAAAACUCAAAUGAAUUGACGGGGGCCCGCACAAGCGGUGGAGCAUGUGGUUUAAUUCGAUGCAACGCGAAGAACCUUACCUACUCUUGACAUCCAGAGAACUUUCCAGAGAUGGAUUGGUGCCUUCGGGAACUCUGAGACAGGUGCUGCAUGGCUGUCGUCAGCUCGUGUUGUGAAAUGUUGGGUUAAGUCCCGCAACGAGCGCAACCCUUAUCCUUGUUUGCCAGCGAGUAAUGUCGGGAACUCCAGGGAGACUGCCGGUGAUAAACCGGAGGAAGGUGGG
rnacentral:rRNA from 1 species